GAGAUGAUCAAAAGAGAGAAGGAACAAAUAAAGGGCCUUACUGCUCCCAUCCAGUCCUAAGGAACUCUAUAUAUUAAAGAUCUUGCAUAUUAAUUAAACUGAUUUACCAGAUGUUUAAAAAAAGAAUAUUCUUGCUUUUAAUUGGGGAAAAAGAAAUCCCUAUGACCAAGACACCAUAUUCCUAACAUGAAUAAGAAAAUUCUUCGUUGCAAGCCCAAUG
rnacentral:misc_RNA from 1 species